rnacentral:tRNA from 5 species
GGCUGGGUAGCUUAGUGGGAAAGCACAGGAUUCAUAUCCCUGGGAGCGUGAGUUCGAUCCUCACCCCAGCCA